AUUGAACGCUGGCGGCAGGCUUAACACAUGCAAGUCGAGCGAGCGGCGGACGGGUGAGUAAUGUCUGGGAAACUGCCUGAUGGAGGGGGAUAACUACUGGAAACGGUAGCUAAUACCGCAUACCAUCAGAUGUGCCCAGAUGGGAUUAGCUAGUAGGUGGGGUAAUGGAUCACCUAGGCGACGAUCCCUAGCUGGUCUGAGAGGAUGACCAGCCACACUGAAACUGAGAUACGGUCCAGACACCUACGAGAAACAGCAGUGGGGAAUAUUGCACAAUGGACACAGGCCUUGUGCAGCCAUGCCGAGUGUGUGAAGAAGGCCUUCGGAUUGUAAAGCACUUUCAGCGAGGAGGCGUUACUGGCAGAAGAAGCACCGGCUAGCUCCGUGCCAGCAGCCGCUGUAAUAC
rnacentral:rRNA from 1 species